ensembl:lncRNA
CAGGAAUGUAAUUAUAAGCUGUAGUUUUGUUACAAGAAUGCUGCUCCUCCCUUUUGCCAUAAUAAUGUAUGUUGAUUUUGCUUUCAUGUUUGAUUGUGCAAAUGACGAAGUCUGAAGUAAAAAAAGAAUUAAAGUUAAAACCAGUGUUUCCAACCCUCCCGGUCCCGCCCUAAGUUAUUAAAGUCAGAGAAGCUCUAACACCUCCAUCAUUUAUCCUAAACUCCUAGAACAUCUCACACACAGGUAACAAAAACUGCACGAUUAACAGAUACAUAAGCACAUAAAGAUCACGGAUGAGGAGUAAAUGGAUUUAUGUGGCUAUCCUGGGGAUAGCAUGCAUGAUGCUUGGAGUCAAUGGGAGCAAUACAACAAGCAGUAGCAACUCUACAGACAGCUGGAUAUCUUCUAACAUGACCACCAGCCUGACCCAGACGCUACCAACCAACAUGACCACCAACCUGACCCAGACACUACCACCCAACAUUACCACCAACCUGACCCAGACGAACCCACCCAGCAUGACCACCAACCUAAACCAGGUCGGUCCCUUCAACAUAACUUCAAACUUAACUCAAACAGGACCUCCCAACAUAAACCUUAACCUUACCCAGAUGGGUCCUCUCAACAUGACCACCAGCCUUACCCAGACUGGCCCUCUUAAUAUGACUACAAACCCAUCCCUGAUGGGCCCUCUCAACAUGACCACAAACCCCGACCAGUUAAGCCCUUUUAACAUGACCACAAACCCAACCCAGAUUGGCCCUCUCAAUAUGACCACAAACCCGAACCAGAUGAGCCCUUUAAACACGACCACAGACCCCAACCAAAU